rnacentral:rRNA from 1 species
UGGGGAAUAUUGGGCAAUGGGGGAAACCCUGACCCAGCAACGCCGCGUGAAGGAAGAAGGCUUUCGGGUUGUAAACUUCUUUUACCAGGGACGAAGGACGUGACGGUACCUGGAGAAAAAGCCACGGCUAACUACGUGCCAGCAGCCGCGGUAAUACGUAGGUGGCAAGCGUUGUCCGGAUUUACUGGGUGUAAAGGGCGUGUAGGCGGGAGAGCAAGUCAGAAGUGAAAUCUAUGGGCUUAACCCAUAAACUGCUUUUGAAACUGUUCUUCUUGAGUAUCGGAGAGGCAGGCGGAAUUCCUAGUGUAGCGGUGAAAUGCGUAGAUAUUAGGAGGAACACCAGUGGCGAAGGCGGCCUGCUGGACGACAACUGACGCUGAGGCGCGAAAGCGUGGGGAGC